UAUUUUUUUGAAGUGAAUUAAUAAUUCACCCACUCAAAAUAUAUUUAUAAUAAUUGACUGGAGGGCAUCCAGGACUGGAUCCAGCGAAGGCUGAAAGAAUAACAGAGGAUAAUUGAAGGAUAUUAACUGUCAGUCCAGCAGAAACAGAAGGCAUCAGGCAAGCUGGCUAGUUUAGUUAUAAACUAAAGUUAUAAAGGCCCGUAACUUGCUUUAUAGCAAAACUAUUCACUCGGAAUUUAAUCUUUCAUCCAAAUCCAUCAGAGGAGGCUAAUGGACCAAUGAAAAAGACUUGGGAAUACCCAAAACAUAAAAGGUUAUUAACUUUAGGAAGCCGAACAUUACCGUCAUGGCAUUAUUCAAUUAUCCAAAGCCCGAGGAUCUACUAAAAAAUUAUUCGCGUUCAUUUCCAUCUCCAUUGUUGCAGCGAUGAAUGAUCGAUUCCGCUCGGUAAGUUUUUCACAAUAUACUUCAAUAUAAAUUGUAUCGUUAAU